rnacentral:rRNA from 1 species
AGAGUUUGAUCAUGGCUCAGAACGUACGCUGGCGGCACGCCUAACACAUGCAAGUCGAACGAAGUAGCAAUACUUAGUGGCAGACGGGUGAGUAACAUGUGGGUAUCUGCCCUUUGGCCUGGAAUAACACGAGGAAACUUGUGCUAAUACCGGAUAAGUCUUUACGGAGAAAGCUUUAUGCACCAUUGGAUGAGCCUGCACUUGAUUAGUUUGUUGGUGGGGUAAUGGCCUACCAAGACUGUGAUCAAUAGCUGAUUUGAGAGGAUGAUCAGCCACAUUGGGACUGAGACACGGCCCAAACUCCUACGGGAGGCAGCAGUGGGGAAUCUUGCACAAUGGAGGAAACUCUGAUGCAGCGAUGCCGCGUGAGUGAAGAAGGCCCUUGGGUUGUAAAGCUCUUUCGUCGGGGAAGAAAAUGACUGUACCCGAAUAAGAAGGUCCGGCUAACUUCGUGCCAGCAGCCGCGGUAAUACGAAGGGACCUAGCGUAGUUCGGAAUUACUGGGCUUAAAGAGUUCGUAGGUGGUUGAAAAAGUUAGUGGUGAAAUCCCAGAGCUUAACUCUGGAACUGCCAUUAAAACUUUUCAGCUAGAGUAUGAUAGAGGAAAGCAGAAUUUCUAGUGUAGAGGUGAAAUUCGUAGAUAUUAGAAAGAAUACCAAUUGCGAAGGCAGCUUUCUGGAUCAUUACUGACACUGAGGAACGAAAGCAUGGGUAGCGAAGAGGAUUAGAUACCCUCGUAGUCCAUGCCGUAAACGAUGUGUGUUAGACGUUGGAAAUUUAUUUUCAGUGUCGCAGGGAAACCGAUAAACACACCGCCUGGGGAGUACGACCGCAAGGUUAAAACUCAAAUGAAUUGACGGGGACCCGCACAAGUAGUGGAGCAUGUGGUUUAAUUCGAAGAUACGCGCAGAACCUUACCAACACUUGACAUGUUCGUCGCGACUCUAAGAGAUUAGAGUUUUCGGUUCGGCCGGACGAAACACAGGUGCUGCAUGGCUGUCGUCAGCUCGUGUCGUGAGAUGUUGGGUUAAGUCCCGCAACGAGCGCAACCCUCACUUUUAGUUGCCAUCAUUAAGUUGGGCACUCUGAAAGAACUGCCAGUGAUAAGCUGGAGGAAGGUGGGGAUGACGUCAAGUCCUCAUGGCCCUUACGUGUUGGGCUACACACGUGCUACAAUGGUAUCUACAACAGGAAGCAAGACUGCGAAGUUAAGCAAAUCCCUAAAAGAUACCUCAGUUCGGAUUGCACUCUGCAACUCGAGUGCAUGAAGCUGGAAUUACUAGUAAUCGUGGAUCAGCGUGCCACGGUGAAUGCGUUCCCGGGUCUUGUACACACCGCCCGUCACACCAUGGGAGUUGGUUCUACCUUAAGGCAAGGUUUUAAACCCUUGACCACGGUAUAGUCAGCGACUGGGGUGAAGUCGUAACAAGGUA